rnacentral:rRNA from 1 species
UGAGGAAUAUUGGUCAAUGGGCGAGAGCCUGAACCAGCCAAGUCGCGUGAAGGAUGAAGGUUCUAUGGAUUGUAAACUUCUUUUGUAAGGGAAUAAAAAGUGGUACGUGUACCAUAUUGUAUGUACUUUACGAAUAAGGAUCGGCUAACUCCGUGCCAGCAGCCGCGGUAAUACGGAGGAUCCAAGCGUUAUCCGGAUUUAUUGGGUUUAAAGGGUGCGUAGGCGGAUCUUUAAGUCAGUGGUGAAAGUUUGCGGCUCAACCGUAAAAUUGCCAUUGAAACUGAAGAUCUUGAGUGCAAAUGAGGUAGGCGGAAUGUGUUGUGUAGCGGUGAAAUGCUUAGAUAUAACACAGAACCCCGAUUGCGAAGGCAGCUUACUGGGAUGCAACUGACGCUGAGGC